UACGUAGGGGGCUAGCGUUGUCCGGAAUCAUUGGGCGUAAAGAGCGUGUAGGCGGCUCGGUAAGUCCGCUGUGAAAGUCCAGGGCUCAACCCUGGAAUGCCAGUGGAAACUGUCGAGCUAGAGUCCGGAAGAGGCGAGUGGAAUUCCUGGUGUAGCGGUGAAAUGCGCAGAUAUCGGGAAGAACACCCGUGGCGAAGGCGGCUCUCUGGGACGGUACUGACGCUGAGACGCGAAAGCGUGGGGAGCAAACAGG
rnacentral:rRNA from 1 species